rnacentral:rRNA from 1 species
GGAUGAACGCUGGCGGCGUGCCUAAUACAUGCAAUUCAACCGAACAGCCGAGGAGCUUGCUCCUUUGACGUUAGCGGCGGCCGGGUGAGUAACACUUGGUUAACCUACCUAUAAGACUGGGAUAACUUCGGGAAACCGAAGCUAAUACCGGAUAAUAUUUCGAACCCCAUGUUUCGUUAUUGAAAGAUGUCUUUGCUAUCACUUAUAGAUGGACCUGCGCCGUAUUAGCUAGUUGGUAAGGUAACGGCUUACCAAGGCAACGAUACGUAGCCGACCUGAGAGGGUGAUCGGCCACACUGGAACUGAGACACGGUCCAGACUCCUACGGGAGGCAGCAGUAGGGAAUCUUCCGCAAUGGGCGAAAGCCUGACGGAGCAACGCCGCGUGAGUGAUGAAGGUCUUCGGAUCGUAAAACUCUGUUAUUAGGGAAGAACAAACGUGUAAGUAACUGUGCACGUCUUGACGGUACCUAAUCAGAAAGCCACGGCUAACUACGUG